CACCUCUAGCAUUACCAGUAUUAGAGGCACUGCCUGCCCAGUGACAUUAGUUUAACGGCCGCGGUAUCCUGACCGUGCAAAGGUAGCAUAAUCAUUUGUUCCUUAAUUAGGGACUUGUAUGAAUGGCUCCACGAGGGUUUAACUGUCUCUUACUUUUAAUCAGUGAAAUUGACCUUCCCGUGAAGAGGCGGGAAUAAAAAAAUAAGACGAGAAGACCCUAUGGAGCUUAAAUUAAAUUAUCUAAUAAAUUAAAACUUAAUCCAAUAGGCAUAACAAUAUAUUUAACUAGAUAACAAAUUUUGGUUGGGGUGACCUCGGAGUAUAACCUAACCUCCGAGCUAUAUAAACUAAGACUUACCUGUCAAAGUGAAAUAACUUAUUGAUCCAAUCUUAUUGAUCAACGGAAUAAGUUACCCUAGGGAUAACAGCGCAAUCCUAUUUAAGAGUUCAUAUCGACAAUAGGGUUUACGACCUCGAUGUUGGAUCAGGACACCCAAAUGGUGCAGCAGCUAUUAAAGGUUCGUUUGUUCAACG
rnacentral:rRNA from 1 species